CCUACGGGAGGCAGCAGUGGGGAAUAUUGGACAAUGGGCGAAAGCCUGAUCCAGCCAUGCCGCGUGUGUGAAGAAGGUCUUCGGAUUGUAAAGCACUUUAAGUUGGGAGGAAGGGCAGUAAAUUAAUACUUUGCUGUUUUGACGUUACCGACAGAAUAAGCACCGGCUAACUCUGUGCCAGCAGCCGCAGUAAUACAGAGGGUGCAAGCGUUAAUCGGAAUUACUGGGCGUAAAGCGCGCGUAGGUGGUUCGUUAAGUUGGAUGUGAAAUCCCCGGGCUCAACCUGGGAACUGCAUUCAAAACUGACGAGCUAGAGUAUGGUAGAGGGUGGUGGAAUUUCCUGUGUAGCGGUGAAAUGCGUAGAUAUAGGAAGGAACACCAGUGGCGAAGGCGACCACCUGGACUGAUACUGACACUGAGGCGCGAAAGCGUGGGGAGCAAACAGGAUUAGAUACCCUGGUAGUCCACGCCGUAAACGAUGUCAACUAGCCGUUGGGAGCCUUGAGCUCUUAGUGGCGCAGCUAACGCAUUAAGUUGACCGCCUGGGGAGUACGGCCGCAAGGUUAAAACCNCGAAAUGAAUUGACGG
rnacentral:rRNA from 1 species